CCUACGGGUGGCAGCAGUGAGGAAUCUUGGUCAAUGGCCGGGAGGCUGAACCAGCCAAGUCGCGUGAGUGAAGACGGCCCUACGGGUUGUAAACCUCUUUUGUCAGGGAGCAAGGUUCAGGUCGGGACCUUCUGUGCGAGUACCUUCAGAACAAGCAUCGGCUAACUCCGUGCCAGCCGCCGCGGUAAUCCGGAGGAUGCGAGCGUUAUCCGGAUUUAUUGGGUUUAAAGGGUGCGCAGGCGGAGGCACAAGUCAGCGGUAAAAUCGCGGGGCUCAACCCCGCUCCGCCGUUGAAACUGUUGACCUGGAGUGCGCGAAGGGUAGGCGGAAGGCGUGGUGUAGCGGUGAAAUGCAUAGAUAUCACGCAGAACUCCGAUCGCGAAGGCAGCCUACCGGCGCGCAACUGACGCUCAUGCACGAAAGCGUGGGUAUCGAACAGGAUUAGAUACCCCAGUAGUC
rnacentral:rRNA from 1 species